rnacentral:rRNA from 1 species
GGAGGAGUGCGUUCGGGAGCCGUAACACAGGUGCUGCAUGGCUGUCGUCAGCUCGUGUCGUGAGAUGUUGGGUUAAGUCCCGCAACGAGCGCAACCCUUGUCAUUAGUUGCCAUCAUUCGGUUGGGCACUCUAAUGAGACUGCCGGUGACAAGCCGGAGGAAGGUGGGGAUGAUGUCAAGUCCUCAUGGCCCUUAUGACCAGGGCUUCACACGUCAUACAAUGGUCGGUACAGAGGGUAGCCAAGCCGCGAGGCGGAGCCAAUCUCACAAAACCGAUCGUAGUCCGGAUUGCACUCUGCAACUCGAGUGCAUGAAGUCGGAAUCGCUAGUAAUCGA